rnacentral:rRNA from 1 species
GACGAACGCUGGCGGCGUGCUUAACACAUGCAAGUCGAACGGAAAGGCCCUGCUUUUGUGGGGUGCUCGAGUGGCGAACGGGUGAGUAACACGUGAGUAACCUGCCCUUCACUUUGGGAUAACUUAAGGAAACUGGGGCUAAUACCGGAUAGGAGCUCCUGCUGCAUGGUGGGGGUUGGAAAGUUUCGGCGGUUGGGGAUGGACUCGCGGCUUAUCAGCUUGUUGGUGGGGUAGUGGCUUACCAAGGCUUUGACGGGUAGCCGGCCUGAGAGGGUGACCGGCCACAUUGGGACUGAGAUACGGCCCAGACUCCUACGGGAGGCAGCAGUGGAGAAUAUUGCACAAUGGGCGGAAGCCUGAUGCAGCAACGCCGCGUGCGGGAUGACGGCCUUCGGGUUGUAAACCGCUGUCGCCUGUAACGAAGCGUGAGUGACGGUAAUGGGUAAAGAAGCACCGGCUAACUACGUG